CCUACGGGUGGCAGCAGUGAGGAAUAUUGGUCAAUGGACGAGAGUCUGAACCAGCCAAGUAGCGUGAAGGAUGACUGCCCUAUGGGUUGUAAACUUCUUUUAUAUGGGAAUAAAAUGUUCCACGUGUGGGAUUUUGUAUGUACCAUAUGAAUAAGGAUCGGCUAACUCCGUGCCAGCAGCCGCGGUAAUACGGAGGAUACGAGCGUUAUCCGGAUUUAUUGGGUUUAAAGGGAGCGUAGGUGGAUUGUUAAGUCAGUUGUGAAAGUUUGCGGCUCAACCGUAAAAUUGCAGUUGAAACUGGCAGUCUUGAGUACAGUAGAGGUGGGCGGAAGUCGUGGUGUAGCGGUGAAAUGCUUAGAUAUCACGAAGAACUCCGAUUGCGAAGGCAGUUCACUGGACUGCAACUGACACUGAGGCUCGAAAGUGUGGGUAUCAAACAGGAUUAGAUACCCUUGUAGUC
rnacentral:rRNA from 1 species